UAAUAGGGAUAGUUGGGGGCAUUAGUAUUUAAUUGUCAGAGGUGGAAUUCUCAGACUUGUUAAAGACUAACUUAUGCGAAAGCAUUUGCCAAGGAUGUUUUCAUUGAUCAAGAACGAAAGU
rnacentral:rRNA from 1 species